rnacentral:rRNA from 1 species
UGGGGAAUAUUGCGCAAUGGGCGAAAGCCUGACGCAGCAACGCCGCGUGGGGGAUGAAGGCCUUCGGGUUGUAAACCCCUUUCAGCAGGGAAGAAGCGAGAGUGACGGUACCUGCAGAAGAAGCACCGGCUAACUAGGUGCCAGCAGCCGCGGGAAUACGUAGGGGGCGAGCGUUGUCCGGAAUUAUUGGGCGUAAAGAGCGUGUAGGCGGCCUGGUAAGUCUGCCGUGAAAACCUGGGGCUCAACCCUGGGCGUGCGGUGGAUACUGCUAGGCUAGAGGAUGGUAGAGGCGAGUGGAAUUCCCGGUGUAGCGGUGAAAUGCGCAGAUAUCGGGAGGAACACCAGUAGCGAAGGCGGCUCGCUGGGCCAUUCCUGACGCUGAGACGCGAAAGCGUGGGGAGCAAACAGGAUUAGAUACCCGCGUAGUCC